rnacentral:rRNA from 1 species
CCUACGGGUGGCAGCAGUGAGGAAUAUUGGUCCAUGGCCGUAAGGCUGAACCAGCCAAGUAGCGUGAGGGAAGACUGCCCUAUGGGUUGUAAACCUCUUUUAUGCGGGGAUAAAGGUGUCCACGUGUGGAUGUUUGCAGGUACCGCAUGAAUAAGGACCGGCUACUUCCGUGCCAGCAGCCGCGGUAAUACGGAGGGUCCGGGCGUUAUCCGGAUUUAUUGGGUUUAAAGGGAGCGUAGGCCGGUCUUUAAGCGUGCCGUGAAAUUUUGUGGCUCAACCAGGAGAGUGCGGCGCGAACUGGCGACCUUGAGUGAGCUGAAGGCAGGCGGAAUUAGUGGUGGAGCGGUGAAAUGCUUAGAUAUCACGAAGAACCCCGAUUGUGAAGGAAGCCUGCCGCCGCGUUACUGACGCUGAAGCUCGAAAGCGCGGGUAUCGAACAGGAUUAGAUACCCUAGUAGUC